rnacentral:lncRNA from 1 species
AUGGGGCCUUUGCUUUUGGGAGAGGGGAAGGAGGGAGGGAGGAUGGAAGAAAGUAAAGAAAGAAAGAAGGGGAAGAAGAGGAGGGAAGGUGGGAGGGAGCAUGGGAGGAUGAAAGAAAAGAAGACAGAAUUAAAGAUGGAUGGGAGGAAAGAAGGGAGAAGGAGGGAAGAUGGAUGGAAGCUAGGAAAGAAGGAAGGAGAAGGAAGGAGGGAGGGAGGAUGGAAGGAAGUAAAGAAAGAAGGGGAAGAAGAGGGAAGGUGGGAGGGAACAAGGGAGGAUAAAAGAAAAGACAGAAUUAAAGAUGGAUGGGAGGAAAGAAGGGAGAAGGAGGGAAGAUGGAUGGAAGCUAGGAAAGAAGGAAGGAGAAGGAAGGAGGGAGGGAGGAUGGAAGGAAGAAGAGAAAGAAAGAAGGGGAAGAGGAGGGAAGGUGGGAGGGAGCAAGGGAGGAUAAAAGAAAAGAAGACAGAAUUAAAGAUGGAUGGGAGGAAAGAAGGGAGAAGGAGGGAAGAUGGUUGGAAGCUAGGAAAGAAGGAAGGAGAAGAGAAAGAAGGAGGGAGGAUGGAAGAAAGUAAAGAAAAAGAAGGGGAAGAAGAGGAGGGAAGGUGGGAGGGAGCAUGGGAGGAUGAAAGAAGACAGAAUUAAGGAUGGAUGGGAGGAAAGAAGGGAGGAGGGAGGGAGGAUGGAAGCCAAGCUAGGAAAGAAGGAAGGAGAAGAGAAGGAAGGAGGGAAAUGACCCCAGCAGAUACCAGGAUGAUGAUGAUGGGGGGUCAUGGCUCUGCACUUUGCCGCCAUGUUUCCUGAACUUUCUUCCAUCUCCUCAGUGACCUUUACACUUCAGGGCUCUGGACCCGAGCCUUCUGGCCUCACAUAUCUCUCCCUUCCCCAUACCAGCUCUCUUCUGCUAUUUUAUCCUUUAGAGAGGACCUGCAGGUCCCCUGGGUGGUUCCUCCUGCCAUGUUUCAGUGACUCAGAUGGAGUCUUGGUUGUGCCUCGGGUCAGGAUCUCUUCUCUCAGGUGUUGCCUAAACUUUGGGUGGGGGUUUCUUCACAGGUUCCUUUCUUGGCUUUGUCAUCCCUGAAUUCCUGGGUGUGGUGGCUGAGGUUCUUGCUAGGUGGCAGCUCCUCCCCAGGGUGUCUGCUUUGGUGGGUGUCCCGAGGAAGUCGGUCUCCUCUUCUCUGCCCUUUUUAUUUUAAACUUUCAGUGUAGGACUGUUGGCCCCGUUUGCUGGUCUCUUCAGGCCAGGAACCCAAAGCCCGAGAGCCCACCUGCUUGGUCAGCUGUCCACCACUUCCGCCUCCAGUGGGCUGUGCCCGUGCAGUGUCCCACGUCUUGCCUGAGCCCUUGGGAAGCGCUGUUAGCCUCGGGUGGGCCUCUGUGCCCAGGGACGUCAGGAGGCUCUGAUCAGUCAAGCCUGGGGACGUCCUUGUGGCUCCAGGGCCCAGGAAGACAGCAGAGCUGUUAGAGGGGUGGACGCAGCCUCUUUGACAGGUCACUCAGUCGUUCUCUCAAGAAAGAGACUGCAAAGUCUUUCAAGUCUUGGCCAUGACAGUCAAUUCACAAUGAAGAUUCUGUCCUCUCUUAAAAGAUAGUGACGUUGUGCCUCCUUUCAUGGAAGAACUGGCUGGUGAAAGGCAGAGAGAGUGACAGAGACAGAGGAGAGAGAAGCACUUGACAAACAUUGCUUUGUACCUUCUUAUCCACCCUGGGGAGCAGGCACUAUAAGACGGAAUUAAGUCUAGGAGAGGUUCCAUGGUUUGCCCAGGCCCCGGAGCUAGUGAGGAUAUGAGGCUGGAUUGGAACUCGGGUCUUCCUGACUUCCAGUCCUGCACUGUGUCCACUUGACCACCUGGCCGUGUCAGACAGUCAUCUAGAUGCAUCUAGGGAUACAACUAGAAACACGCGCAGACUCAUAUUCGUAAAGUUUGUCUCUGUCGCCCAUGAGCCCCGGGGUCCAACACCAAGCAAUUAAAACUCUACAGACAGACAGACAGACCCAUUGGCUCGAGCAAUGCCCAGAUGAAGGGGUCUCACCACCUCGGGCCCUUCCACCUUUGUGGGGGACGAUGAACUUAGAAAACCAGUUCCAGCUCUGCCAGCUGCUCUCCGCCAAGUCUAAGUGGAUCCAUUCAACCAAUCAAUAAAAAGAAGAUCCAGAAAUGUCA